UCGGUCCCUAAUAAUAACAAACACUAUUGUGGUAAAUAAAUACAGUAAUAUAAAUUUGAAAAAAUGUUCAUGCUCCAAUUGCAAAUUAGUUUUGAAGCCAAUUGCCAAUUAUAGCAAAAACUGGUCUAAGCAUUACUAAGCAUUUGUAGUUAAAAUCAGGAAUGACAGUAUCUGUGAUCUGGAUGGAGUUAAAACGUUAAUCUACCUUUAUUGAUAUAAAUGUCAAUGUGUAAAUAUUAGUAUUACCUCUCAAUAAAACACAGUGCACAAACUGCAGCCUCCAAAAUUACUAUAAAAAAAUUAUAUACUAUUACUAUAAAAAACUGCACUCGUAUUAGCUCGAUUUACCUAAUAAAUUGGCAACUCAGUGUGCAUUAUGCUGGGAAUCUCCAAUUGUUUGGACAACUGUAACUAUGCUCAUAACUGAGUUUUAUAACAGCUGUAAGUGAAGCAAAAUGCAGUGAACAGCAGAGCUUUUCAUUAUUGGGUACCAUAAAUAAGCAGGUUCAGCUUCUCUGAUGACAUUGAACGUUGAAUAAGAUUUUUAUUUCACAAUGCUUUGCUGCCAUCUUGUGACAAUGAAACUAACAACAUGUCAGAAGGAAGAAGGAGAACCUUUAGGAGGUACGAUAGUCCAAGAGUCCUGAUCUCAGUACUGCAGUGGCUGAAUCCUCAGCUGGGGAGAAAACCUUUACCUCUGAAAAAUAUUCCACUCAUGUAAACCAUACCAUCAAAUAAAGCAGUGGUAUUAUUGUUUUAUUAAUUGACAUAUUAAGGGAUUUCGUCACUCCUAUUAUUAUUCUUUGAACUGUUCUUAUGAUGCUUUGGGGGAUGUAAACCCCCCCGGAAGUGCAGGAGAUUUGAAUUUGACAUAGUGCAGGGUUCCCACACAUCCUGGAAAAGUUUUCCAGUUAUUGAAACAAUAUUUUAGCCCUUCACUCAGAAACAUGUAUGUCAUGUUAUGAAACUUCAUUGCAGUAUUACCUUACAUGGAAUGAACUUGCAGCAGUCAUUUCAGCUGAAAUGUUUGAAUUUUCUGUAAAAUAAAAUAAAUCAUACUUAAAUUAAACUUUUACUUAUGGCCUGUGACCAAAGUAAUAUGUUGGAGGGUUAGAGAAAACUGUAGUAAAAUGUAGUCAGUUCACUGGAAGAGUACACAGUGGAAAAAUCAGCUGUAGUGAGAACAGCCAAGUGUGCCACACAGCAAAGCGUGCCACAAUGAAUCAGUGUGGAGUGUGACCACCUACCUGUUAUGAACCUGAGAUACUUCACCAAAGACCCUGCAUCCUUAAAAAAGAAGAAUAAAACUAGGAUUAAAUAUGUCAGUACUAGGUCUACUGGUAAAGUAUGUGACUGUAUAAAGUAUACUGUAAAGUAUAUGAACAAGUGCUGUCUUGUAUUGUCAAGAAAACUCCUGGAAAAUGUCCUGGAAUUUGUCCUGCAUUUAUCCGGGAUAAAUUUUUUAAAGUAAGUGGCUUUUUUUUUCACUAAGCCAGUUUUGUUAAAAAAUUAGCCCCGCCUCCCAUCUGAUCCUAUGUAUGUCCUGUAAAUAUGGCAGAAUUGACAAUAGAGUUGACUUUGAAUUUACUUUAAUUAAGAAAACUGUAUCUAGCAAGUAGCGAAGUGUUUUUUCUCGAAGAUUUCUCAUCUAUGAUCAAAAUCAAAAAAUAUGUGUAUGCUACCCUAGAGGGGCAUGCCCCCUCUACUUUAAAACUCGCUCACAUUUAGCCAAAUCCCACAUUUUUUUGAUGUUAUGCAUACUAACAUCUCAAAAUUGUGACCUAUUGAUUUCAGAAUGAUACACUUGGUUAUCUUUUUUUGCUACAGAUCCAUACAAAGCAUUUGAGGGUUUGCAAGCAGAAGAGUGUGGGAUACUGAACGGCUGUGAAAAUGGUCGGUGUGUCCGAGUUCAGGAGGGUUACACCUGCGACUGCUUUGAUGGAUACACCCUGAACCUGUCCCGCAUGGCCUGCGUUGAUGUGAACGAGUGUUCAGAACUAAACAAUCGGAUGUCGUUAUGUAAAAAUGCAAAAUGCAUUAACACAGUGGGCUCCUAUCAGUGUGUGUGUCUGCCAGGCUUCACUGCCUCUGAAAAACCCAACUACUGUGUGGAGGCAGCAAUACACCAAACAUCAGCUCACACACAGUGAGCAUGGAUGGACAGUAAGGGGCCACAAGAGACACUAAAACCACACGCACAAGCUUGUAUUACUAUACUUGUGAGGACGCCACUGACUACAUUCAGUCAUUUGCAAAUCCUCAGCACUAACCUUAAAGUUGAACUCUGGUUUGGUUAAAUUGUCCAGCAGCACUCCCAAAACACAGCUGAUCACCAGCAGUGACCUGGAGGAAUGGUAGAGAUAUUGGGGUCAUAUAACAAAAUCACAGAGUGUACCAUUAAACUGUUAAAAUCUAUUAAUAAUCAUUGCCCAAAAUCUUAAUCAAACCUCUAGUUUUAUACCCCUAAAUUUUGUUUUUGAAUUCACCAAAUUGUUAUUCUAAUCUUACUCCAUAAUUUAAAAUCCAGAUCUGCUGUUUACCAAGUGUCAUUAUUUUACUCACUUCCUGCAUUUCCUGUUCUACAACACUAUGGAUUUUUACAGUGCUUCUGUUGUAAUAUAUUUGUUAUAUUUUCUUCAUUUUCCAAUGUGGGCAUUUUAAAAUCCUUCCUAAAUAUUAUAAAGUACUCCUACUGUUAAGGCCCUGUUAAAAGCUUUAAAGUAUAAUUUUUAUAUUCAUUUUUACCGACUAGACGGUUAACAUUGUAACCUACUCUGGUUUCUUUGGUUAAAGCAAUAGUUUAACAAUAGUUUGGUGUACUGUAUGCUUAGUUGUAGUCUUUGCAGUUAGAUGGAAGAUUUCCUGUCCUGCUUUAUGAACGGAGCUAGAGGCAGGAGGUUAUUAGGUUGGCAUAGACUGCAAACAACUUCCAGUCUUUAUGCUCAGCUGUACCUACACAGAAAAUGAGAGUGCUAUCAAUCUACUUAUCUCGCUCUUGGAAAGUGACUAACUGUAUUUUCUCACAAUGUUUAGCUUUAGCUUGAAUGAGCCGUAAUUGGCAGAAAAUGGUUCAUAAUUAUUUAUUAAAAAGUCAGUUUGGAGAACAAAACGCAAAACCAAAAGAAAGAGAAAGCUAAAUCAUGACUCCCCUCUUUGCUGUUCUUGGUCCAGCUGUGACAAACAUUCACAGUCCUGUAUGUUUUGUUUCUGUAUUGCUGAAUCAGAAUGGGGCUAGUAGCAGUUAGUGAAUGUUAAUGAGUUAAUCAUGAAGCCAAAAACCUGCAAAUAGGCUGUGUUUUUUUGUUUUGAACCUUCAACCUUACUAUCACAUAGCACUACAAAUAUAGUUGUUGUUAUUUAGUCAUUAUUAGUGUUAAAUGUGAGCAUUCAGUAUCCCUUAUAUAACACACUUUACUCUAUAGUUACCAUUGCAUUGAGAAUUUUGACACUUAUGAAUCAUAAUUUUCACAGAAAGACUCCAAGGUGGUGCCCAUUAAUUUCAGUGAAAAUUGCAUGCACUUAAGAAUCACUUUUCUUGGAUCUGGGAAUGUUUUACAAAUAUAAUAGUAAUAAUAAUAUCAAUGUAAAACCUUCUUGAAUUAGAAUUGUUUUAGGCAUUUUUUUGUCAUUUUGAAACUGCAAAAGAAAGUUGAGAUUUUUUUCAUUAAGGGUUGAAGGCAAGUUAUUUUUGUAAGAAUAAAAUUGCUAGUAGUUUGGUGACAUAUGGCUAAACAUUUUGCGCAGGGUACUGUUACGAAUGGUUAAGCUUGCGGGAAAAUGACUGGUCAAAUUUGAAUGAAAAGUCACAGGAUCAGGGUUGUUACAGUAUAUCCUCUAGGAAACAUCAAUGUGUGUAUCAAAUGUCAAGCCAAUCCAUCCAACAGUUGAGACAUAUCACUCAAAACAACAAGCUAUUGGUGGCACUAGAAGAGACCCAGGGGUCAUCAGAAUUCACCAUCUGGGUAACGUGAAUGUUUGCACCAAAUUUCAUGUCAUUUCUAUCAAUCCAUGUAAAUGAAUUGACUCUUCCUAAGUCCCACCCCUUUUUGCUCUGUGCUCCAAUAAAAGUUGAGCAAACUUCA